UCUUCACUCCUGAAGCUAAAAGGCGAGCACACAGUUGUUGAUCGAGCUUUGCUUCCAUUUAUACUAGAGCGUUUCAAGCUGCCAUGCGUUAUUAGUGAACAGUUGCAGAACAAACUGACUUCCUUAGAGAUGCCUGCAAAGUGUUUAAAGGUCAUGACAAUUUAGAAAGGAUACUUCAAGCGCAAGUGCUAAUGCAAGUGCUUCAAAUGAGAGCAAGGAAGACAAAAUGUAUAGAAAAAGAGACAAGCAGUACUCGAGUUUGAGCUUGCUGAGCAACUGAAUUGUCUUUCUUGAUUUUCGGGGAAGUGGUGCACUCUUCUUUUUUCCUGACUUUUAGAGACUGCGGAGAACCCAAUUUAGUGCUACUACCACCAAGUGAAGCAAAAUUGAUUGACAUGUGGAGAGAUUUCGAAGGUAUUCUAUUUUCCUUAACUGAGCUUCUGACUGUCUGAGUCUGACUGUUCAGGACAGCAUCGUUUACAUGUCUUGGAGCUCUUGGUUGCAUAGACAUCGUUGCCUUUGCAUGUGGAAGUGGCAAUCUCGGCGCUCUGCUUCGAGUUGCUGACUUCGAGGAAGAAAGCGCUUGCUUUUUAUCACACGAAGUUAAAAUCUGCUGAGCAACAGGUGCCUGCAGCAAUAAUAGGUAGAACUGAUAAGUAAAGAAAGGCUAAGCAUUGAAGGAGAAAGCAGGACCAAGCAACAAAUUACCUUAUCUGGCACAUUGUCAUUUUGGGAAGUCAUACUCUUUGCAGUGAACUCCGGAUUAUCAAAGUGAUUCUGGUCUUCAGAUGGAGACAAGUGCUUUUCAUCAAGCUCAGAUUUUACAUUCUCAGGACCUGCAACCUCUGCUAUCUCCAGUUUGCUUCUUUCAUUGAUCGGAUUUAAUUGAUUUUUAUCACCA